CGGGGUGAGUAACGCGUGGAUAACCUGCCUCACACUGGGGGAUAACAGUUAGAAAUGGCUGCUAAUACCGCAUAAGCGCACGGUACCGCAUGGUACAGUGUGAAAAACUCCGGUGGUGUGAGAUGGAUCCGCGUCUGAUUAGGUAGUUGGUGAGGUAACGGCCCACCAAGCCGACGAUCAGUAGCCGACCUGAGAGGGUGAUCGGCCACAUUGGGACUGAGACACGGCCCAA
rnacentral:rRNA from 1 species